AUGAAACCUCUUUUAUUGGUGGUUUAAUUUUUUUCUCCUUCGUUCAAAAAAGACACAUUCAGCCGUUUUAAGCGAAAUAAAUCCACUCCCGAAUCUUAAACAAACUUUGAAAAAUUUCGAAAAUUCAGUCGUGGUUUGGCCUUUUUUUAGUGUCGCUACAGCUUUACCGGUUUUCCUGACAAGACGAGUGUGAUCUUAGCUAACACUCAGUGAAGAAAAUCAACUCCUAGAUCUUAAAUUUAACAAAUUUUGAAAAUUUCGAAAAUUCUGUCGCGUUUCGGCCUUUUUUAGUGACGCUAUAGCUUUUCUGGUGUUCCUCUCUGGACGCACGUUCGCACGUGAACCUGGUUAACACUGUUAGGAAAUUGAGAAGAGGAUUAGUAUUUCAAUGCUCAGCCAGCGAUAAAUGGCUCCAGCACGAGGAGCCAAUAUCUAUGGAAGUCGGCGUCAAAAGAGGAAAUAUCGAUAAAAAAAAUUCUUGUGAUAAACCAUAGGUGCUAAGAAUGGCGUUGGCCCAGGUAAGCGCCGAGAUGUCGAGAUUACAGCAGCGCCCGUAAUCAGUUGCCUGCCUCGCUCGAGUGGUCUCGGAUUAUCGAAACUCAAGUUGUUCAAAUUUUACAAUUUCGCUGCCGGCCGCAGAUCCGAAUCCCUGGUUUUCUUGGAUAUUUGUUUUCGUCACGGUUUCCCAGGAAUUUCUUGUGCUCCUUCAUCAUCCCACCCCUCGCUGAAAGUGCAUUAAGGCAGUGCGCAAAUUAUUCCACGUGCAUUAGAUCACCCAUGAUACAAAAUUCGGAAGCUAUCGUGAUAUAGGUGCCGCGGCUACUCGCAAAACUUUUCGAAUCUACCUUUAUUUUUUCGUCACAAUGAUGGUACAAAACUCCAAUCAGCUGAUCAUAUUCUUCGUCGCCGUUCUUUCCGGCUAUGCUUUUGGGAAAGCAGUUGGGAAGGAAGGUGAGGUACAGUGGACGUAAUCGAGGAGGAGCAGCCGGGACGGUGAAAUACAUGUCAGCUUGUCUGAAGCCAGGGUUCAUCUGCAGCGACUGCCAGUCGCUCUACUUCUGCAGAAACGACGGGAACGGGACCCUGAAGCCGACCAUGCUCCAGACUUGCUCCAACGCCGAGGGCUUCUACUGCAACGUCGCCGCCGGGGGUUGCUCAACCAACAAGAGGGACUGCGACAUUUUGGCCUCCAAGAAAUCAAGUGCCAGGUUUGUCCCUCCCCUCUCUUCAUUCCUCUUUACCCAGGUAGCACUUCGAAAAAAUCAAACUCCGC
rnacentral:lncRNA from 1 species